rnacentral:rRNA from 1 species
ACACGUAGGGAGCAAGCGUUGUCCGGAUUUAUUGGGCGUAAAGAGCUCGUAGGCGGUUUCGUAAGUCGGAUGUGAAAACUCAAGGCUCAACCUUGAGACGCCAUUCGAUACUGCGAUGACUAGAGUCCGGUAGGGGAGCAUGGAAUUCCUGGUGUAGCGGUGAAAUGCGCAGAUAUCAGGAGGAACACCAGUGGCGAAGGCGGUGCUCUGGGCCGGAACUGACGCUGAGGAGCGAAAGCAUGGGUAGCGAACAGGAUUAGAAACCCCAGUAGUCC